UUACAGCCUAACACAUGCAAGUCGAACGGCAGCACAGGAGAGCUUGCUCUUUGGGUGGCGAGUGGCGGACGGGUGAGGAAUACAUCGGAAUCUACUCUGUCGUGGGGGAUAACGUAGGAAACUUACGCUAAUACCGCAUACGACCUACGGGUGAAAGCAGGGGAUCUUCGGACCUUGCGCGAUUGAAUGAGCCGAUGUCGGAUUAGCUAGUUGGCGGGGUAAAGGCCCACCAAGGCGACGAUCCGUAGCUGGUCUGAGAGGAUGAUCAGCCACACUGGAACUGAGACACGGUCCAGACUCCUACGGGAGGCAGCAGUGGGGAAUAUUGGACAAUGGGCGCAAGCCUGAUCCAGCCAUACCGCGUGGGUGAAGAAGGCCUUCGGGUUGUAAAGCCCUUUUGUUGGGAAAGAAAUCCAGCCGGCUAAUACCUGGUUGGGAUGACAGUACCCAAAGAAUAAGCACCGGCUAACUUCGUGCCAGCAGCCGCGGUAAUACGAAGGGUGCAAGCGUUACUCGGAAUUACUGGGCGUAAAGCGUGCGUAGGUGGUUAUUUAAGU
rnacentral:rRNA from 1 species